GAGGGCAUAGCACAGUGGUGGAGCACAUGCCUAGCAAGCACAAGGUCCUGGGUUCAAUCCCCAGCACCUCUA
rnacentral:tRNA from 1 species